rnacentral:rRNA from 1 species
UCCUGGCUCAGAUUGAACGCUGGCGGCAUGCCUUACACAUGCAAGUCGAACGGUAACAGGUUAAGCUGACGAGUGGCGAACGGGUGAGUAAUAUAUCGGAACGUGCCCAGUCGUGGGGGAUAACGCAGCGAAAGCUGUGCUAAUACCGCAUACGAUCUCUGGAUGAAAGCGGGGGACCGCAAGGCCUCGCGCGAUUGGAGCGGCCGAUAUCAGAUUAGCUAGUUGGCGGGGUAAAAGCCCACCAAGGCGACGAUCUGUAGCUGGUCUGAGAGGACGACCAGCCACACUGGAACUGAGACACGGUCCAGACUCCUACGGGAGGCAGCAGUGGGGAAUUUUGGACAAUGGGCGCAAGCCUGAUCCAGCAAUGCCGCGUGCAGGAUGAAGGCCUUCGGGUUGUAAACUGCUUUUGUACGGAACGAAAAGGUCCUCUCUAAUAAAGAGGGCCCAUGACGGUAC